rnacentral:snRNA from 1 species
CUGCUCUGUUCUCUCUUCAGAUCAAAUACAUCUUUCACCUUUUACUGAAGGUGUCCGUGGAGAGAAACCAUUCUAAGUUAACCAGCUUUUUGAGGCCUUGCCUUGGCAGGGCU